rnacentral:sRNA from 1 species
GCCAGGCACAGUGGUGCAUGCCUGUAAUCCCAGCAACUCAGGAGGCCAAGACAGAAAGAUUACAAAUUCAAGGCCAGCCCCAGCAACUUACCAGAAUCCUGUCUUUU